rnacentral:rRNA from 1 species
CCUACGGGGGGCAGCAGUGGGGAAUAUUGCACAAUGGGCGCAAGCCUGAUGCAGCCAUGCCGCGUGUGUGAAGAAGGCCUUCGGGUUGUAAAGCACUUUCAGCGGGGAGGAAGGCGUUAAGGUUAAUAACCUUGGCGAUUGACGUUACCCGCAGAAGAAGCACCGGCUAACUCCGUGCCAGCAGCCGCGGUAAUACGGAGGGUGCAAGCGUUAAUCGGAAUUACUGGGCGUAAAGCGCACGCAGGCGGUCUGUCAAGUCGGAUGUGAAAUCCCCGGGCUCAACCUGGGAACUGCAUUCGAAACGGGCAGGCUAGAGUCUUGUAGAGGGGGGUAGAAUUCCAGGUGUAGCGGUGAAAUGCGUAGAGAUCUGGAGGAAUACCGGUGGCGAAGGCGGCCCCCUGGACAAAGACUGACGCUCAGGUGCGAAAGCGUGGGGAGCAAACAGGAUUAGAUACCCGAGUAGUC